rnacentral:rRNA from 1 species
UACGUAGGUGGCAAGCGUUGUUCGGAAUUAUUGGGCGUAAAGGGCGCGUAGGCGGUUUGUUAAGUCGGUUGUGAAAACUCGAGGCUCAACCUCGAGACGCCGAUGGAAACCAUUUGGCUAGAGUCCGGAAGAGGAGAGUGGAAUUCCUGGUGUAGCGGUGAAAUGCGCAGAUAUCAGGAAGAACACCCGUGGCUAAGGCGGCUCUCUAGUACGGUACUGACGCUGAGACGCGAAAGCGUGGGGAGCGAACAGG